rnacentral:rRNA from 1 species
AUACAUGCAAGUCGAACGAACUCUGGUAUUGAUUGGUGCUUGCAUCAUGAUUUACAUUUGAGUGAGUGGCGAACUGGUGAGUAACACGUGGGAAACCUGCCCAGAAGCGGGGGAUAACACCUGGAAACAGAUGCUAAUACCGCAUAACAACUUGGACCGCAUGGUCCGAGUUUGAAAGAUGGCUUCGGCUAUCACUUCUGGAUGGUCCCGCGGCGUAUUAGCUAGAUGGUGAGGUAACGGCUCACCAUGGCAAUGAUACGUAGCCGACCUGAGAGGGUAAUCGGCCACAUUGGGACUGAGACACGGCCCAAACUCCUACGGGAGGCAGCAGUAGGGAAUCUUCCACAAUGGACGAAAGUCUGAUGGAGCAACGCCGCGUGAGUGAAGAAGGGUUUCGGCUCGUAAAACUCUGUUGUUAAAGAAGAACAUAUCUGAGAGUAACUGUUCAGGUAUUGACGGUAUUUAACCAGAAAGCCACGGCUAACUACGUGCCAGCAGCCGCGGUAAUACGUAGGUGGCAAGCGUUGUCCGGAUUUAUUGGGCGUAAAGCGAGCGCAGGCGGUUUUUUAAGUCUGAUGUGAAAGCCUUCGGCUCAACCGAAGAAGUGCAUCGGAAACUGGGAAACUUGAGUGCAGAAGAGGACAGUGGAACUCCAUGUGUAGCGGUGAAAUGCGUAGAUAUAUGGAAGAACACCAGUGGCGAAGGCGGCUGUCUGGUCUGUAACUGACGCUGAGGCUCGAAAGUAUGGGUAGCAAACAGGAUUAGAUACCCUGGUAGUCCAUACCGUAAACGAUGAAUGCUAAGUGUUGGAGGGUUUCCGCCCUUCAGUGCUGCAGCUAACGCAUUAAGCAUUCCGCCUGGGGAGUACGGCCGCAAGGCUGAAACUCAAAGGAAUUGACGGGGGCCCGCACAAGCGGUGGAGCAUGUGGUUUAAUUCGAAGCUACGCGAAGAACCUUACCAGGUCUUGACAUACUAUGCAAAUCUAAGAGAUUAGACGUUCCCUUCGGGGACAUGGAUACAGGUGGUGCAUGGUUGUCGUCAGCUCGUGUCGUGAGAUGUUGGGUUAAGUCCCGCAACGAGCGCAACCCUUAUUAUCAGUUGCCAGCAUUAAGUUGGGCACUCUGGUGAGACUGCCGGUGACAAACCGGAGGAAGGUGGGGAUGACGUCAAAUCAUCAUGCCCCUUAUGACCUGGGCUACACACGUGCUACAAUGGAUGGUACAACGAGUUGCGAACUCGCGAGAGUAAGCUAAUCUCUUAAAGCCAUUCUCAGUUCGGAUUGUAGGCUGCAACUCGCCUACAUGAAGUCGGAAUCGCUAGUAAUCGCGGAUCAGCAUGCCGCGGUGAAUACGUUCCCGGGCCUUGUACACACCGCCCGUCACACCAUGAGAGUUUGUAACACCCAAAGUCGGUGGGGUAACCUUUUAGGAACCAGCCGCC